CCGCAGCUUGUGGCAGUGCCGGAUUCUUAACCUACCGAGCGAGGCCAGGGAUCGAACCCCCUUCCUCAUGGAUCCUUGUCAGGUUCGUAACCCCUGAGCCACGACGGGAACUCCACAAACCACACUGCUGUGAUUACCGUCGCUUUGUCGGAAUUACUGAAAUUGGGAAGCGUGGAUCCUCCGACUUCUUUAUUUCAACACUGUCUUGGCUUUUUAAGGCCCUUUAUGCUGCUUUCUGAAUUUGAGGACUGGCUCUUCCAUUGCUGCGGAGCGGACUUCUGGAGCCUGACAGCGACUGUACUGAACCUGCAGACGGCUUUGGAGGUGACGCCGUCGUCACGGUAUGAAGUCUCCCUGCCCAGGAACAAAGCAUGUCCUUCCACGUACUCGGAAUUCCAUGCUACGGAUUUCUGAGUUUUUCCUGCUUGAAUUUGUUGAGCUUCUUGUACAGCAGGCACAUGAUCCAGCCAGGGUCAGACUGAACUGCCAACCUACCCGCUGUGCGCCGUGGUUCCAGGUCAGUGGUUCUCCAAGCUUGCCGAGCAGCGUGGGCAGCUCAAGGUGAGCCGGGGGGCGGUAUCCAGCUCCAGGGGGGGCUUUCUCUACCUUCCUCUAGGCCUUGAUGUCCUGUGCGUCCUGUCUCCUGACCCUCAGCUAACUGGCCCAGGUCUCGGCCCCCCCGUGACGUUACGCACCUCGUGGGGCCAGAUAAAGCCUGUCUCCCUCCCACCCCGCCUGGACUGGCAGCGCCCCUGGUCCGGCCCCUCCGCGGGCCCACUGUCUCCAGGGUGUGCAGUGCUGAUGCCCAGGCCAUCCCAGAAGCUACGCCAGGAGACGCGGGGGGACAGUUGAGGACAGUCGUUGCUGCAGGGGCUGCUCUUCUGGGGAUGAUCCCCUGCUGUCGCUUCUUCCACGACCGAGACGGUUGCUUUGUCCCGUGAAUGCCCGAGACACAGGGCAGAGCGUGUUCACGCCAUGGGGACCUCAGGACGUGUCUCAAGUCAGAACUUCUGUGUUCACAGGUUUCGUCGUCUCACCAGAGCGCGUCUGAAACCUGCGAACACUGGUCACUGGGGACAGGAGCACGGAGGCGGGUCCACCUGGGUCUUUCCACCCCCGCACGCGGUGCAGCCUCACCUCCGCUCGGGCCUCAACUCACCACGCGGUGAUGGCACGGAGCCUCCAGAGCUGCCUCAGCCCACGGGACGGCACGGGGCCCAGACGCGCGCCUCCCCCAGCGGCUGCCACCCUCUGCUCUGAGGAGCUCGUCGGCUUCUACGAACCGAAGGCCUCCUCUCUCGACUCCUUUCUCGGGUGGAGGAAGGUCACCCUGCAGGACGGCGGUCGCCUCCCCUCCGCUCCAUUCACUUCGGCGUGAACUACGGCAUCACCAGAGCGGCUCCUCCGGAGCAAGAAGGGGCCGCGACCUAAAGCACUGGAAGCAGGGAUCCGCCGCGGACCCCGGCCCCAAAGGCGCGGCCGUCCAGGCCGCUGUCCGCACCGCCCUGCCUGUCUCUAGGGAGGGCGCCACUCUUCGCUCCGUGGGAACUGUCCUUGAAGGCGGUGCCACACCCCGGGUGACGGGCCGGGACCUGCGUGCCCGCCUGCCCCUUAGACACGGUUUCCGUCUCACAGGACGACGUGGCUCAGCUGCUUUGCAACGUCCCUUCCCAGGCUGAGCGCUGAGCCUGCAGGAGAAACGGCAGCUACGGGCUGUUCAACUCCAACUCGACGGCAACAGCCAGGCUGACUCAGCGGGGCCUGCGACCGGAGCCUGUGCCCGGGCACACGCGCUCCCCCUUCCCGCGGUGGAGCCCGGAGCUGGCACUGCUGUCGUCACAGCCGCUCCUUCCGACACUUGUUCCAGCGCACGAGGCCUCUGGCGAGCUCCGAACAGAGCAGUGCCUGCUUAAGCUUAUCCAAAGGACAAUGAUACUCUGUAUUCAAUUAAAAUUAAUAAAAAUAUUUUAUUGAGUUUCAGGAACUUGGUACGUUUAAAAUUUCAAAUCUUUGCACACAGAUCACCACUAUACCUUAUAGAAUAGUGGAGGUUAGGACCCGAAGAUUGUCACUUGUCUCCUUGUGUCACAAAGCACAGAAAUCCCAAGUCCUGACACGGCCCCACCCUCUGACCGUGACUCUGGCCUACUCUGUCGUCCUGGGAGGGGACGGUGCGAGGGGUGACGUGUCCGGAGAGCUCAACUGUCCGAGUGGAGACCCCCCGACUCGAGAGGAAGCUCAGUCCGCGCACGAACCCGGGAGGAGCCGCGUCACUCGCCUCCCGCGUGAGUCCCCCUUUUGCGUCUUGUCGGGUUCAGGGCGAAGCUGCUGAAAUGAAGUUUCUUGUCCCUGAGGGAGCGCAGACGUUUGGCAAAGGUCAGAGCAGACACUGCCUGCAGUGAGGCGCUUAGGAACAGCCGUGCGCGGCUGGGCAGGGUCCAGUGCGACGUGACCUCUGCAGCACCAGGCUUCCCCCGGGGCCACGGGAACCAGCUGUUUCUCCCAGGGCUCGGGGGCCACAGGGCUCCUGGGACUUCCGGGCUAAAUUCAAACAUAAAAAGUGCCUGUGGUGUGGUGGUUUGUUAAUCUGUGGGGUUUUCUGCCCUCUCCCUGGCAUUCUGAGAUUUCUAUGUGCCAGUGAGUAAGCCGACUGAACAAGACGGAGGAGCAGCAAAGAGACCGCCUCACCUGUGACAAGGGCGCGCGUUAGCGCCUGACAACGCAGCCUGUCCUCCUCUUCUUGGGCUCUGAGGACGGGCGCUCUUCCGACCCACGAGCCCACCAGGGAGCCCCCAGACCCACACAAUCUACACACGGGCUCGGCAUCACCCACCGACAGGCGGCGCCUGCAGGCGACGGUGGUGGGACGUGUCUCCUAGGAGCACGGGCCAGGCCAUCUACCCGCGGGGGGCCCCGUCCACCUCCCUCCCCAGAACUCACGGUCAGGGGCUCCAGCGGCCAUCAGUGAAGCCACCCAACCUCACACGCGGACACAGCGUGAUCUGAAUGAUUUUGCCGACUGCAAACCUUCUGAGUCAAAAGAGAAACACAAACGUACAUUCCAAGGUCUCUGGAAAGUGCCUGGGAGGCAGGCUGCUGCCUGAGGCACUCGGACCCGUCCGUGCUGCAGUCUGCAAGCGAGGCUUUGCCACUGUCACACACGUGGUCUGGAGUUGACAUGAUGGUUUUGUUUUAUUUCUGAGAUGGCUGAGUUAUAAAUCCAGCUAGUGUGCAGUCAUUUCAUAAUUUUUAAUACGCAUCGUCUGCAAUAACAUUGUGACAGCUCCAUACCGUGGAUUGACACACAAUACUGAGAACAGAUUUAUCAUAUUUGGUCUUUAGGUAAAUAAUAAAUGUUUUAAAAUUGCCUAAAUAUACCAUUCUGAGCCGUUUCAUUCCACCAGGAAAAUACAGGGUUUUUUCCCCUCUCUUUAAAAAAAAUUAAAUACCAAAAUAACUACAUUUAAAUAAAUAACGUUAUGAUGAUGACAUUUAAAAAUUCACAAGAAGGCCAGCGCCCUCUUUCUGCCUGCAGGGCUGCUCAGCUCCGAGCCCGGAUCGCUCUGGGAGGCGAGUGGCUGCUUCCCGAGGAGGGCGAGGGCCGUGCGAGGCCGCCGCCUCCGACUCUCUCACCUUCGCUUGCUCUCCGCCUGCUCUUGUUUGGGUGGGAGAGCAGUGAGCCGUAGUCCUCGAGUCAGUUCUCACAGGCGAGGGGCAUUUCCUAGUACAAGUCAGAGAACGACCUGGAUGUUUCCAGCGCUUGCCCAGAGGUGCCGCAGGAACAGGCAGCUUCUGCUCCAGUGCGAGGGGGGCUUCGGCAGCGCUUCGGGCGGGCGGCCGGCGGGUCAGACGUGCCGAGAGCUGGUGAUGGCACCUCCGCUGCCGACGCCCUCGGGGAGAUCUGUGACAUCUGAGAGGAUGUGUGAUAAAAAGAUUAAAUCUUUUUUCCAAAUGAAGAAGUGAUAGCUCUGUUGUUUUAAACAUACACACUACGUAGGAGACCUGUUUUACUGAGAGUGGAAAUUGUGCCGGGGUCAAGGUCGACACAAAGGGACAAACGACAGCAAGGAGCAGAGAAGAGAAACAGGAAGCGCAGCUCCGGAGCCCGGUGGCUCCUCCGGCGGGGGUGGCGCGGUCGGUCGGUCGGUGCCCCGCGUGGGCGUGGAGGAGGAGCAAGAGCAGCGGCCCGGGGCUGACGAGGAGACCCUGCGGGUGUCGUCAAGGGCCCCAUCUGACUGGAGCAGGACAGACAAGGGUCCGUCAUCCCAGAGGCUGCAAACAAACAACAAAAACAAACAAAACCA